GUUUGGAUAUGUUCAACCCAUUUAGUGGAUGACUAGGCUGGUAUCAGCAAACCCACGUGGUAAGCUGCGAUAUGCCUGGGUGAGGUGCACGCAACCUUUGACCCCAGGAUCUGGGUGUAUGCUCUUUGGGAAACUGAAGCGCAUAGUUACCCCGGGAAUUGAAACAUCUUAGUACCGGGCGGAAGAGAAACCAAUUGGGAUUCGGUUAGUAAGGGUGACUGAACUCCGAAUAGGCCAAGCUGAAUUAUCUGCAGCAAUGCAGGUGAGAUGUGGCGGGGAGCAUCCAUUCUUUGAGCAGAAGUCUUCUGGAAAGGAGCGCCAUAGCGGGUGAUAGCCCCGUAUGCGAAGGAGAGUGGAGCGAUCCAAGAAGAGUACCGUCUGCCGGAUAGGAGGCGGGAAUGUGGGGGUAUCAACCUCCAAGCCUAAAUAUUAGGUACCAGACCGAUAGCGAAUGAGUAGCGUGAGCGAAUGUUGAAAAGGACCCCGGAAGGGGUGUGAAUAUAGAGCCUGAAAUUAAAUGGGGACAGGAAGGCAUGGCAUUAAAGGGCUUUAGGAUUGCCGAAGUGAAUUCCCGAAAGGGUUGGAUCGAGGCAGUUUAACCAGUGUCGUGUCAUUCUUCUUGAAGCAAGAGCCAGGGAGUUUAUUCGUGUGGCGAGAUGAGAGUCGAAGCGAAAGCAAGAGCCCGCAGGAAACAAGGGGCGUCCUCUGAAAGGGGGAUCAGUCACACGGAUCAGACCCGAAGCCGGCGCGAUCUACGCGCGAGCAGGGUGAAGCCAGCUUGAUCGUUGGUGGAGGCCCGCAACUAGUGUUGGUAUAUUCCACUUAGGUGACUCGCGUGUAGGGGUGAUAGGCCAGUCGAGCCCGGCAAUAGCGGGUUCCCUCUGAGAUGUAUCUGAGUACAGCGUCUCCCGAGGAGGAUACUGAGGUAGAGCACUGAUUGGGAAGAGCGGGGUGGA
rnacentral:rRNA from 1 species